rnacentral:lncRNA from 1 species
UCAUUCCUCUGAGUUGUUCAACAAGACCCCUUCCCAGGAGAUGAAAAGCUGGAUUUAUACCCACAGACAAUUUUGGCUGUACUUCGGGUGUCAGCUUCGUUUACUAGACAUUGUUCACACUGCAGGCCCCUAACUACUGCUGGCUCCCUGGGUGCAGCCAGCCACCCUGCAGCUGCAGCUCCCUGCUCCAGAGCUGUUUCUCAUCACAGCUCAUUCUUACUUCAGCCCACAGCUCCAGUCGGCAGCGGCUUGGUCACGCAAGCAUCUCUGCUCAUGAGAUCUUGGUUGCUGGCAAGGACAAGGCUGUGUCCUGGAGAGCAAAUGGCACACAAUGUGGCCAACAGCCCUGCUGUCUGCAUCCAAGUCACAGAUCUCUUUUGUGCAUGCUAAAUCAGCUCCUUCUGUGCGGGACAUAUUCUGUCUUACUUCCAGGGGAACAUGCCCUCCACCAGUGCUCUAUAGUUUAAUUGGUAUAGAUGUACGCGUUCAGUUUGCACAUUAUUCUCCCUUCAAAAGCUGACUUAUGCAGUACUCUUCACUCUCCACUCCUGAUGAAUGCCAGAUACCCUGCUUGCUGCUUUACUCGUUGCUCCAUCAGCUGCAUCACCACAAGGGUCUCAUCUUCUAUUUUUCAGAACCAUAGCACAUUGGUUUUACCUGUCCAAGUCAAAGUGAAAAAGGAUGUAAUCUGUUCAGGCACUGCUGUAAACCCCUUAGCAGUUUCAGAUAUCAUGCUGUUUCUGGAAUCAUGCACACGCAACCCAGGAGACUGAACAACAUUGCAUUGAAAAGGAAAGUAGGAAACAAAAGCAGCGCAUUUCAUGUUUCAGCCUCUUGGAGGGACCAAAGGGCAUACUGUCUUUAGAAAUACUACAAAAGGCUAAAAGAGAUGUAUAAGCUCAGCUGUGAAUACAUGUCCUGCUUUCUGACUUCUCCUGGAAUUCACUGUGCCAGGCCAAAAAACCCCAAAGGAUGCAAAAUUUUCUGAACCAUGUGUGAGUCUCCCCUGAAAAAGGGAGAGCACAUACCCAGCAAACUAGGCCAUCCCACCUCCAGCAGCUCUCAGCCCCUGCCUAGACAGUGCUCGUGGCACACAGGCCAAGAGCCUGCCUUUCUCAGAAAGUGCCCAGCCUCCCCAUGGAGAGUAUCACUCCAAGCCAACAGUUACCCUCCUGCCUGAAAGAGGGAUGGUCAGCUCACAGUAUGGCCAAACAUAUUCCCACUUCUGUAUGGAAAUAGCAGCCCAGAGCCCAGCAUCCCAGUUUCACUCAGAGGUAAAACCAUCAGCCUCCCAAGUGAGCUAAGAUGCAGCCAUGUGCUAGGCAUGGCCUAACCUUUCUGCAGAGGGAAAGCAAAUUUUACAAAGGGGAAGCGGCUACUUGAUGAGGAGCUGGUCAGCAUCCAGGGUCAGUCCUUGAGAGAGUUUCCCAGACAGCAGCAG